rnacentral:rRNA from 1 species
GAGUUUGAUUCUGGCUCAGAGUGAACGCUGGCGGCGUGCCUAAUACAUGCAAGUCGAACGGAGAUUAAAGUAAGCUUGCUUAUUUUAAUUCUUAGUGGCGCACGGGUGAGUAAUGUAUAGCUAAUCUGCCCUACACUAGAGGACAACAGUUGGAAACGACUGCUAAUACUCUAUACUCCUUCUUUACAUAAGUUAAGUCGGGAAAGUUUUUCGGUGUAGGAUGAGGCUAUAUCGUAUCAGCUAGUUGGUGAGGUAACGGCUCACCAAGGCUAUGACGCGUAACUGGUCUGAGAGGAUGAUCAGUCACACUGGAACUGAGACACGGUCCAGACUCCUACGGGAGGCAGCAGUAGGGAAUAUUGCUCAAUGGGGGAAACCCUGAAGCAGCAANCGCCGCGUGGAGGAUGACACUUUUCGGAGCGUAAACUCCUUUUUCUUGGGAAAGAAUUAUGANCGNACCCAGG